rnacentral:rRNA from 1 species
CACACUGUACAAUGGAUUUCUCGGCUCUUGCAUCGAUGAAGAACGCAGCAAAGCGCGAUAGGUAGUGUGAAUUGCAGAAUACCGUGAAUCAUCGAAUUUUUGAACGCAUAUUGCGCCCGGGUUUGAGCCUGGGCAUGUCUGCCUCAGCGUCGAUUU